rnacentral:rRNA from 1 species
GACGAACGCUGGCGGCGUGCCUAAUACAUGCCAGUAGAACGCUGAAGCGAGGAGCUUGCUCUUCUUGGAUGAGUUGCGAACGGGUGAGUAACGCGUAGGUAACCUGCCUGGUAGCGGGGGAUAACUAUUGGAAACGAUAGCUAAUACCGCAUAAAAUGGAUUAUCGCAUGAUAAUCCAUUGAAAGGUGCAAAUGCAUCACUACCAGAUGGACCUGCGUUGUAUUAGCUAGUUGGUGGGGUAACGGCUCACCAAGGCGACGAUACAUAGCCGACCUGAGAGGGUGAUCGGCCACACUGGGACUGAGACACGGCCCAGACUCCUACGGGAGGCAGCAGUAGGGAAUCUUCGGCAAUGGACGGAAGUCUGACCGAGCAACGCCGCGUGAGUGAAGAAGGUUUUCGGAUCGUAAAGCUCUGUUGUAAGAGAAGAACGAGUGUGAGAGUGGAAAGUUCACACUGUGACGGUAUCUUACCAGAAAGGGACGGCUAACUACGUG